rnacentral:rRNA from 1 species
GAUGAACGCUGGCGGCGUGCCUAAUACAUGCAAGUCGAGCGAACGGACGAGAAGCUUGCUUCUCUGAUGUUAGCGGCGGACGGGUGAGUAACACGUGGAUAACCUACCUAUAAGACUGGGAUAACUUCGGGAAACCGGAGCUAAUACCGGAUAAUAUUUUGAACCGCAUGGUUCAAAAGUGAAAGACGGUCUUGCUGUCACUUAUAGAUGGAUCCGCGCUGCAUUAGCUAGUUGGUAAGGUAACGGCUUACCAAGGCAACGAUGCAUAGCCGACCUGAGAGGGGGAUCGGCCACACUGGAACUGAGACACGGUCCAGAAUCCUACGGGAGGCAGCAGUAGGGAAUCUUCCGCAAUGGGCGAAAGCCUGACGGAGCAACGCCGCGUGAGUGAUGAGGUCUUCGGAUCGUAAAACUCUGUUAUUAGGGAAGAACAUAUGUGUAAGUAACUGUGCACAUCUUGACGGUACCUAAUCAGAAAGCCACGGCUAACUACGUG